GGCUCACUUAUAGAAAAAAAGGUCAUCCUCGAAAUCGAAUCAGCCCUCCUUGACUCUAUCAUAUCACAAUCAAUGAAAUGAGCAGCUGUGAACACAAUUUUGUCAACACCAAUUCAAAACAUAACGCACACCAUCGGCUGCUGAUUCAUGAUUGAGUGAAAUUACUUCCUACUUCACAGAUCUCCAAAUCUACUACUUUACACUAACCUAGCAAGACAAUGCAAAUGGAAUGAACACUUCAUCUUACUGAACUAUUUAACGGACUGAACAUUGAGAUUUGAAUUCUAAUAAUUGGUAUCAUUGAAGUAUGACUACAAAA